CCGCAGUGAGGGGUGGGCGUUGAGCGGGGUUGGCUGGGAGUGGGAGCAGAAGACUUUACUGGAGGAGGAGAUAUAAAUCGGAGCAAACCUCUAGAGCUGAUACUGAUGCCCUCUUUGCCAAGCUUUGAGGCUGGUUAUUUAUUUCCUAAAAGUUGGCCUUGAAUCAUUUAUGAUGAUGAUGACUGAGGACCAUUUAUAACCUACUUAGUCACAGGGGCUGAAAAAACACUACCCACGAUGCUCGAUUUAACCUUCAUAAAAGUCCUAUAAUGUAGGUAAAAUAUGAUUCUAAUAU
rnacentral:lncRNA from 1 species